rnacentral:rRNA from 1 species
GACGAACGCUGGCGGCGUGCUUAACACAUGCAAGUCGAACGGUGACCUCGAGAGCUUGCUCUUGAGUGAUCAGUGGCGAACGGGUGAGUAACACGUGAGUAACCUGCCCCAGACUCUGGAAUAACCCCGGGAAACCGGAGCUAAUACCGGAUACGAAGUGGAGCCGCAUGGCUACUACUUGGAAAGUUUUUCGGUCUGGGAUGGACUCGCGGCCUAUCAGCUAGUUGGUGAGGUAACGGCUUACCAAGGCGACGACGGGUAGCCGGCCUGAGAGGGCGACCGGCCACACUGGGACUGAGACACGGCCCAGACUCCUACGGGAGGCAGCAGUGGGGAAUAUUGCACAAUGGGCGAAAGCCUGAUGCAGCGACGCCGCGUGAGGGAUGACGGCCUUCGGGUUGUAAACCUCUUUCAGCAGGGAAGAAGCGAAAGUGACGGUACCUGCAGAAGAAGCACCGGCUAACUACGUGCCAGCCGCCGCAGUAAUAC